GAAAUGCGAUAAGUAAUGUGAAUUGCAGAAUUCAGUGAAUCAUCGAAUCUUUGAACGCACAUUGCGCCCAUUAGUAUUCUAGUGGGCAUGCCUGUUCGAGCGUCAUUUCAACCCCUCAAGCCCUGUUGCUUGGUGCUGGGAGCCUACAGCCCCGCUGUAGCUCCUCAAAGUUAGUGGCGGAGUCGGUACACACUCUAGGCGUAGUAAUUCUAUCUCGUCUCUGCGGUUGUGCUGUCCCCUGCCGUAAAACCCCAACUUUAUAGGUUUGACCUCGGAUCAGGUAGGAAUACCCGCUGAACUUAA
rnacentral:misc_RNA from 1 species